rnacentral:rRNA from 1 species
AGCAGCCGCGGUAAUUCCAGCUCCAAUAGCGUAUAUUAAAGUUGUUGCAGUUAAAAAGCUCGUAGUUGAACCUUGGGCCUGGCUGGCCGGUCCGCCUCACCGCGUGUACUGGUCCGGCCGGGCCUUUCCCUCUGUGGAACCACAUGCCCUUCAGUGGGUGUGGCGGGGAAGCAGGACUUUUACUUUGAAAAAAU